AUUUUUUACUUACACACUAUUCAUUUCAAUCUCCUGGUGUUUCAAAAUGGCGGCAGAACCGUCUCAUAUUUGUUUGGAAACUUCCAUGGGUCAGAUUGUUUGUGAACUUUAUUGGAAGCAUACUCCAAAAACAUGUAAAAACUUUGCCGAACUGGCACAGAGAGGAUAUUAUAAUAACUGCAAGUUUCACAGAAUUAUAAAGGUAAAGUACUGUAUAAUAUUGUAAGACUAGUACGAUCAUUUUUACACACAGAUAGGCCACAUUUUGGUUUUAUUGCAAAAAUGGGAUAAAUGUUUGGGGUGUGGCUAAUACGUGGGAUACAAGCAUUUUGACACAUCACUGAUGUGCAGGAUAGCUCCAAGUGUCACCAAUCAAAUUGUUGUAUUUUGCUUUAUAACAUGACAAUCUUUGUUGACAGACAAUGUACUUUUCUCCUGCUUGCAAAUGAUAACACUUCUUGGUG